GCAUUAGCGCUACUUUGAGUGUUUCGGCUCAUCCAAGGCCAACGAGUGCCAUAUCCGACCUGAGAUGGUGAUCGCCACACUGGUGACUGAGACACGGCCCAGACUCCUGACGGGAGGCAGCAAUAGGGAAUCUUCGGCAAUGGCGUGAAGUCGUGACCGAGCAACGCCGCGUGAUUGAAGAAGGUUUUCGGAUCGGUGAAAACUCUGUUGGUUAGAGAAGAACAAGGACAGUUAGUAACUGAACGUCCCCUGACGGUAUCUAACCAGAAAGCCACGGCUGAACUACGUGCCAGCAGCCGCGGUAAUACGUAGGUGGCAAGCGUUGUCCGGAUUUAUUGGGCGUAAAGCGAGCGCAGGCGGUUUCUUAAGUCUGAUGUGAAAGCCCCCGGCUCAACCGGGGAGGGUCAUUGGAAACUGGGAGACUUGAGUGCAGAAGAGGAGAGUGGAAUUCCAUGUGUAGCGGUGAAAUGCGUAGAUAUAUGGAGGAACACCAGUGGCGAAGGCGGCUCUCUGGUCUGUAACUGACGCUGAGGCUCGAAAGCGUGGGGAGCAAACAGGAUUAGAUACCCUGGUAGUCCACGCCGUAAACGAUCGAGUGCUAAGUGUUGGAGGUUUCCGCCCAUUCAGUGC
rnacentral:rRNA from 1 species